GGUCCCAUAGCUCAGUUGGUUAGAGCGUCGUACUAAUACACCUCCUCAUAAGAUGUCUUGAGUAAAUGCGAAGGCCGAGAGUUCAAGCCUCUCUGGGACCA